AAGUAUAUUGUAUUAUUUAUUUUUGGUUUUCUAUCUUAAUUAUUUGAACUUUAUUUUAGUUAUUAUAUUUUAUUAUUUUAAUUUUGCUUUGAAUUAGUUUAACUUUUUUUAUUGUAAUUCUUUAAUUUGGUCAAAUUGUUCUUAAAUAAAGGUUGAAAUGAAGUGUGGAAUUGUGUUAUGUUAUUAUAUGUAUUAUCGAUAUUGUUGUAUUAACUUUG
rnacentral:lncRNA from 1 species